rnacentral:rRNA from 1 species
ACUCCUACGGGAGGCAGCAGUGGGGAAUAUUGCACAAUGGGCGCAAGCCUGAUGCAGCCAUGCCGCGUGUGUGAAGAAGGCCUUCGGGUUGUAAAGCACUUUCAGUCGUGAGGAAGGUAGUGUAGUUAAUAGCUGCAUUAUUUGACGUUACUCAAGAAGANACCGACGUAACUCCGUGCCAGCAGCCGCGGUAAUACGGAGGGUGCGAGCGUUAAUCGGAAUUACUGGGCGUAAAGCGCAUGCAGGCGGCCUGUUAAGUCAGAUGUGAAAGCCCGGGGCUUAACCUCGGAAUUGCAUUUGAAACUGGCAGGCUAGAGUCUUGUAGAGGGGGGUAGAAUUUCAGGUGUAGCGGUGAAAUGCGUAGAGAUCUGAAGGAAUACCAGUGGCGAAGGCGGCCCCCUGGACAAAGACUGACGCUCAGAUGCGAAAGCGUGGGGAGCAAACAGGAUUAGAUACCCUGGUAGACUGU